rnacentral:rRNA from 1 species
CCUACGGGCGGCAGCAGUGAGGAAUAUUGGUCAAUGGACGCAAGUCUGAACCAGCCAUGCCGCGUGCAGGAAGACGGCUCUAUGAGUUGUAAACUGCUUUUGUACGAGGGUAAACGCAGAUACGUGUAUCUGUCUGAAAGUAUCGUACGAAUAAGGAUCGGCUAACUCCGUGCCAGCAGCCGCGGUAAUACGGAGGAUUCAAGCGUUAUCCGGAUUUAUUGGGUUUAAAGGGUGCGUAGGCGGUAGGAUAAGUUAGAGGUGAAAUCCCGGGGCUCAACUUCGGCAUUGCCUCUGAUACUGGCAGGCUAGAGUGUAGUUGCGGUAGGCGGAAUGUAUGGUGUAGCGGUGAAAUGCUUAGAGAUCAUACAGAACACCGAUUGCGAAGGCAGCUUACCAAGCUACUACUGACGUUGAGGCACGAAAGCGUGGGGAGCAAACAGGAUUAGAUACCCGAGUAGUC